rnacentral:rRNA from 1 species
UGGGGAAUAUUGCACAAUGGGCGCAAGCCUGAUGCAGCCAUGCCGCGUGUGUGAAGAAGGCCUUCGGGUUGUAAAGCACUUUCAGCGGGGAGGAAGGCGUUAAGGUUAAUAACCUUGGCGAUUGACGUUACCCGCAGAAGAAGCACCGGCUAACUCCGUGCCAGCAGCCGCGGUAAUACGGAGGGUGCAAGCGUUAAUCGGAAUUACUGGGCGUAAAGCGCACGCAGGCGGUCUGUCAAGUCGGAUGUGAAAUCCCCGGGCUCAACCUGGGAACUGCAUUCGAAACUGGCAGGCUAGAGUCUUGUAGAGGGGGGAAGAAUUCCAGGUGUAGCGGUGAAAUGCGUAGAGAUCUGGAGGAAUACCGGUGGCGGAGGCGGCCCCCUGGACAAAGACUGACGCUCAGGUGCGAAAGCGUGGGGAGCAAACAGG